rnacentral:lncRNA from 1 species
UCUAGUCAACAAAAUUAAUCAUAUUGCUUUUUUUUUCUUCUUUUUUUUGUAACAACAUAUAAUUCUAGUCAACAAAAGUAACUAUAUUGCAUUUUGUUGUAUUCAUCAGAACUAUAUAAAUAGGGAAGCUAGAGUAAACAUUUUUCAAUAACAAAAUCAAAAUAUGAAGAUGACUCUAAAGCUUUCUGCCAUAGCAAUGGUGGUUACCCUACUUCUUCUUGCAUCUAGCCUUUCCGAGGCUAGGACAGCUCCUUUUCUUUCUACAUCAAAGUUUCUAACCAACAUGAAGCUUUCUGUGAGCCAAAUUCUCUGGCCUCCAGGUCAAACUCCUUGUUUCCCAUGGUACAAGCACUGCCCUCCAGCCCAAGCUCCAUAUGGAUCACAGUCCCCAUAAACAUAAACUUAUGUUUUGAAAAUGUUUAAAUCGUAUUAAAUGUUUCAAUAUAUCAAUAAUAUACAUGACCAACAUUAGUUAUGUUUUGGUGUUAUUGCGUAUUUACUCAUCUAAUUCAUAAUAAUUACCAUUUACAUAUCUAACUUUUAUUCACAAAUUGUGUCGAGUUUCAUAUUGUGAAUGCGAAAAGCAAAUUAUUCCAACCCAAACAAAAUUUAUUAUACACUGUUUUAUACACCAAAUACAAUGUCAUAUACCGAAUGUAACGAAAACAAAGUACUACAUAUACUAUUCACAUGUGUAAGUAUGUAACUAAAAACUCUAUUGAUUCGGAUACUACAAAUUAUUGGCAAGUGAUGUUAUUUAAUAGACCAAUAUUGAAUUCACUAAAGUAAAAAAAAAAAGAAAAAAAAAAUAAAGAAAAUUAGAAGAAGAAAAAAAAAACAAAUUAAUUAGCAUCGAUGUAUUUACCUUGAGGAGCAAGCUGAGGAGUGAGGAUCGUCGACGAAUCCUCUCGCAGCGAAGAUGGUUUUUGUUGAUUCGGAUGAUGCAUGGUCUUUAGGUUUAAAUCCUUAAACUUUAUAUAGUGGUUACGUAUUUGGUCAGCAAAGGCUUUAUCGUAGUCAUAGUAGAAAAAUGUACUUUCUUUAAUAUCCCAAGGAGUCGUCACGUCAAUACAACUAUUGUCGUAAGAAGACAUGAUUUCUACGUUUUCGAUUUUUACAAAAAUAAUCGAAAGAAGAAGGAAACUUAAUACAAAGAGCAACGCAAGUUGUACAUGUUGC